UGCCAGCAGCCGCGGUAACACGGGGGGCGCAAGCGUUAUUCGGAAUUACUGGGCAUAAAGGGCGUGUAGGCGGCGUGAUAAGUGAGAGGUGAAAGCCCUCGGCUCAACCGGGGAAUUGCCUUUCAAACUGUCAUGCUCGAGGCCGUGAGGGGAGUGUGGAACUCUUGGUGGAGCGGUGAAAUGCGUAGAUAUCAAGAGGAACGCCGGUGGCGAAAGCGACACUCUGGCACGGUUCUGACGCUGAGGCGCGAAAGCUAGGGUAGCGAACGGGAUUAGAUAC
rnacentral:rRNA from 1 species